rnacentral:rRNA from 1 species
UACGUAGGGUGCAAGCGUUGUCCGGAAUUAUUGGGCGUAAAGAGCUCGUAGGCGGUUUGUCGCGUCUGCUGUGAAAACUCGGGGCUUAACCCCGGCCUGCAGUGGGUACGGGCAGACUAGAGUGCAGUAGGGGUAGAGGGAAUUCCGGUGUAGCGGUGAAAUGCGUAGAGAUCGGGAAGAACAUCGGUGGCGAAAGCGCUCUGCUGGACUGACAACUGCAGC